AUGCUGGAGUGGAACCUGACGGUGCCCACGCCGUACGUGUUCCUCGUCCGUUUCACCAAGGCCACGUGCUCCUCCUCCUCCGAUCAGAAGCACGAUAAGGAGAUGGAGAACACCGUCUUCUUCUUCGCGGAGCUGGCGCUGCUGCAGUACGGUCUGGUGCAGUCCAAGCCCUCCAUGGUCGCCGCCGCUGCUGUCUACGCGGCCAGGCUCACCCUGAAGAAGACCCCUCUAUGGACCGACACUCUGAAGCACCACACUGGCUUCACUGAAGCACAACUGAUGGACGCAGCCAAGAUUCUGGUGGCCUCGCACUCCACCGUGCCUGACAGCAAGCUGAAGGUCGUCUACAAGAAGUACUCGAGCGAGAAGCUGGGAGGAGUCGCCCUGCGACCGCCUGCGACAGGCCCCUGCACCGGCCCCAAGUGA
rnacentral:rRNA from 1 species